rnacentral:rRNA from 1 species
AUUGAACGCUGGCGGCAUGCCUUACACAUGCAAGUCGAACGGCAGCACGGGAGCAAUCCUGGUGGCGAGUGGCGAACGGGUGAGUAAUAUAUCGGAACGUGCCCAGUCGUGGGGGAUAACGUAGCGAAAGCUACGCUAAUACCGCAUACGAUCUAUGGAUGAAAGCGGGGGAUCGCAAGACCUCGCGCGAUUGGAGCGGCCGAUAUCAGAUUAGGUAGUUGGUGAGGUAAAGGCUCACCAAGCCGACGAUCUGUAGCUGGUCUGAGAGGACGACCAGCCACACUGGGACUGAGACACGGCCCAGACUCCUACGGGAGGCAGCAGUGGGGAAUUUUGGACAAUGGGCGCAAGCCUGAUCCAGCAAUGCCGCGUGCAGGAUGAAGGCCUUCGGUGUAACU